rnacentral:rRNA from 1 species
UACAGAGGGUGCAAGCGUUAAUCGGAAUUACUGGGCGUAAAGCGCAUGUAGGUGGUUUAAUAAGUCUGAUGUGAAAGCCCUGGGCUUAACCUGGGAAUGGCGUUGGAAACUGUUAAGCUGGAGUCGGACAGAGGGCAGUGGAAUUUCCGGUGUAGCAGUGAAAUGCGUAGAGAUCGGAAAGAACACCGGUGGCGAAGGCGGCUGCCUGGGUCCAGACUGACACUAAGGUGCGAAAGCGUGGGGAGCAAACAGG